GGCCUUCCGGCUUCGGGGACCCAGGCGGCCUGGCUAGAACUCUUCCCCCUGCCCUGCUGGAGGGGCAAAGCCUUGGGAGUUGACUCCCCAGAGUAGAUCACCAAAACAUGAGCCCAUCCUCAGUGAAAUUUUUAACCUGCCUGAGAAGAAAGGGAGUGACCCCUUAAUUGGAAAAGCAAGUUACAACAACCACAACCAUCUACCCUUGCUGAUUUCCUACUUUUAAAUCAGUGGGUGCUACUACAAAGAAACAACUCCAGAUGUACUCAACUACCUCAUCUUUG